GCCUCUAUGGCGCAGUGGUAACGCGUCGCACUUGUACCACUAGCAGAUUCACUCUGCUUCAAGCCGUCAAUGCGAAGAUCUCCAGUUCAAUUCUGGAUGGAGGCA